AGGCCAAGUGGGCAAGUAUUAAGACGCCCCCGUGUGUCAACCACGCGUAAUUAACGCCGACUUUGCAUGCAAAGACGGCGUCCAUUGCGCCGACUUCCAUACAAAGUCGGCGUCUUUUUCGCCUCAAAUCGAACCGUGUCACGUGACACGUUCAAAGCACGCGUCUAAAUAAACGCGUGCUUUUUUGAGACGUGUCUAUUAAACCACACGAAAUUAACGCCUGGUUUGGCUCAAUCAGCGUCUGGUUUUCCAAAAUUAAAGUCUGCUGGCUUGAAUCUCCGAUGGGAAAUUAUGACAAUAAUUGUAACAACUAAUACAUCAUAUACUGGACUGGGGGUCAGAUGGCUGAGCGGUUAGGGAGUCGGGCUAUUAAUCAGGUUGUUGGUUCGAUUCCCGGCCAUGCAAAAUGACGUUGUGUCCUUGGGCAAGGCACUUCACCCUACUUGCCUCGGGGAGAAUGUCCCUGUACUUACUGAUGGCAGGCAGGUAGAGGAGCUGUGAUUGCUGCAGGGGCACACCUGUGAUCUGUGCCUUGGUCCUUAAUAAGCUGUGCCCUAACAAGCUGGGUCUCUCCAUUACUAGCAGGAACAUCAUCACUGUUUGCUUUUUAGUGUGUAAUGAUUCUCUUCACUCUACACUUGCACUGAUCCCACACCCAUUCCAUACACUUCUAAUUUACCAACCAUUUCUUUGUAAGCACUUUUUAUUAAAUAAGUACA